rnacentral:rRNA from 1 species
UACGUAGGGCGCAAGCGUUGUCCGGAAUUACUGGGCGUAAAGCGCACGUAGGCGGCUUUGUAAGUUAGAGGUGAAAGCCCAGGGCUUAACCCUGGAAUUGCCUUUAAGACUGCAUCGCUAGAAUCGUGGAGAGGUAAGUGGAAUUCCGAGUGUAGAGGUGAAAUUCGUAGAUAUUCGGAAGAACACCAGUGGCGAAGGCGACUUACUGGACACGUAUUGACGCUGAGGUGGCGAAAAGCGUGGGGAGCAAACAGG